rnacentral:rRNA from 1 species
UUGUUAGCAGCCGCGGUAAUACGAAGGGGGCUAGCGUUGCUCGGAAUCACUGGGCGUAAAGCGCACGUAGGCGGUCUUUUAAGUCAGGGGUGAAAUCCUGGAGCUCAACUCCAGAACUGCCUUUGAUACUGAGAGACUUGAGUCCGGGAGAGGUGAGUGGAACUGCGAGUGUAGAGGUGAAAUUCGUAGAUAUUCGCAAGAACACCAGUGGCGAAGGCGGCUCACUGGCCCGGUACUGACGCUGAGGUGCGAAAGCGUGGGGAGCAAACAGGAUUAGAUACCCUUGUAGUCC